rnacentral:tRNA from 1 species
UGGGCUAUAGCCAAGCGGUAAGGCAACGGACUUUACUCCGUCAUGCGCUGGUUCGAAUCCAGCUAGCCCAG